GGAGAUGGCAGCAUUUGGAAGCAAUCCGAAGGAGGACUUGGAUCUAUGCACUGUUUCACACAGGACCAUAUUUCACUGGAGGUGCAUGAGAACGUCAGAGGAAUGGCUCUAAGAAAGCAUCGCAUCUGGGAUGGUUUGCGCAUGCCCAUGCCAUUUCUCUCUCUGACUGCAGACCUGCCAGCUGGUGUUACCCCUCCCGGUCACUUGGAGAUUGCUUCAUGGACCACAAGGUCUCUCCUGGCCAAAGGCUGAAAACCUGCUUGGAGGAACCUGAAGGAGCAAGAAUAAGCCUCUCUUAGGGAAACAUCAGAGGACUGUGAAUUUGGGACCACCAGCCUAUAUAGAAUGACAAGAGUCAUCUUAGAUGUGAAAGCAUUAACAUUUCCUUGGCUCUCCAUUAUCUCUAGCAUUUUGAAAUUUUCUGCAGAAGCAGUUUGAUUGAUUCUGAUAUUUUUGUAUUGCUCU